rnacentral:lncRNA from 1 species
AAGCGCCGUGCCGCGAUCUGGUGUUGUUCGACUACAAUGGACACAUGUGGCUGACCGUAGAGAAAGAUGGGCGUGAGCCUCUAGUGGUUGUGUUCAAGAAGUUCCAUCUCGCCAGCUUGCCUCCUGCAAAUCCUCCACAACUAGGCUAGUGCCGAUGCUACUAUGUAUGUGUACUUGCUUAACCGUUUGAUGCAAGGAAUAAAUUUCUAGUGGAAGCAUGAAACAGUCCUAUUUUGCUGGUCGUCCGGUAUUGCUUUAUGUUUUCGGGUCAUUCUAGUGCACCAUGUAUCAAAGUGUUUUGAGACCUUGAUCGGAACAUCAUGAGCUCACCCAGAUGUCCACAUGAGUCCCAUAAGACCAACCUGAAGCGGUCGCGCACUUUCCCUUCUUAUCUCUUCCAUGGUUUCAGAUGUUUCUUGUUCGUUCCCCAUCUCUGAAGCCAGCGUCGGCCAUCCCCGCCUCUCCUCGGAUCCAUCGUCCUACAACUCCGGCUAGCUCCUCUGCCACCCUAAUCUCUCCUCCUCCUCGAGAUAGUCCAUUCUCCACGCCUCCUUCCUACACAUGAGCCCUCUCCUUGGUUUGCGCACACGGUGCUCCGUGCAGUCAUUGUCGCUACAAAUAGCGAGCUGGGGGCGACACUAGGGUUGCGACUGGUGUCCGAGUUGAUACAACCGUAGUCGCAUAACGGUGCUGCUAUGACCUCCACAUCAUGUUGCUACAACUAGUGAGCGGCCGUGCUAGAACUGGCGCAUGGCAAUGCUGCUAUACGCCCACUGCCUGCUGGUGUUGGAGACGACGCGCACACACAACACCCGAUAUUGAAGAUGAUACACACACACAACACCCCCGUGCGCUGCGUCUAGCAACCCAUCGGUGCUGGAGAUGGCGCCGACAGUGUUGCAACUGGCAACCGCCGAGGCUGGUCCUGACAUGGGAUGUUGCAACCACGACCUUGGCAAGCUAGAACUAGCAACAACCUAUGUUGGAACCUUACCAGCGAUUGAUGGAACCAGUGUCAGGGUUUUCUCGAACCAGAGGCACCUCGGGUUGCAACCAGCAAGCUAGUGAGCUGGAACCAAAAUGGCGGCGAGCUGCAAUCGGCGGGCGCCAAUGUUGGAACCAUCUCGGCGGUGAGCUACAACCUACAUGCGCUGAUGCUAGAAUCAGCUAUCGGCGGUGCUGCGAUCCCAGAUGACCACGCCAUAACCUGGAAGCCCGUGAUACAAGCCAACCUUGACUAUGGAGUUGCAACCGACAGCACCAAAGGCUGCAAGCAGCGGACGAGAUGUUGCGACCGAUAUUUUUGCACCCGCAGAUGUUGUGUUGCGACGGAGCUGUGAGUCUUGGGAUGCACGCAAGGGGUGGCGGACGCGCGGAAUUGUGUUGUAGCAGGGCCCAGCUCGCUCAAGUCAACGCUCUGUCCCGUUUCUUUAUUUCGUAUCUGUUUCUUGGGACGAAGCUAUGGGAAAGUGAUGACGUGCGAGAUUGCGAUCGAACAGUUAAAGAGGGUUGCAUCAAACGGUUGUGUGGCGACCACCGAAAAUUUGGGCCGACCGGAUGGCGCCUAGCGUCCGCCUUCUCUUUUUCUUUUGAUUCAUUUCAUCUAUAUGUUGCGUGUUUCUGUCGUAGGCGACACAGACAACAACAGUGGCCAAGGCCCUGGUGUCGAGCCCCUAAUCCAUGUUCAUUUCCAUGUCCCUGGUGGUGGUGAGCUGCUCUGCCAGCACCCCACUAGUUAUUCUUUUCCCUCGACCUGUGAUGUGUUCGACGAUGCUGUUGAAGAAGGACCUAACCGUAGGCUGCGGUGCUUCCCCACCCCAUAAGGCCUAAUUUGGUCGUAAGGAGAAAAUAUCCUAGGGCCACGGGGGAUUUCCAUGGCCAUCGGGGACCCUCGCCUUCCACCACGGCGAGAUCACCAUGUCAGUUUGGAUCGUAGGGAGAAGGGGAGGUGAGGAAAAUGCUAGGGGUAGUGCUCAGGUGAAGGAGAUCGCUAUACGGUAGGUAUGCUUUACCCUGUCGCCUCCCGCACUCCAAUUGGCGGCUUUUCUCCCCGACGUUUGUAGGCAUGGAUCUCCCAUCCGGGGAAAGGACGGGGAUCGGGGCAGAAUAUUCACAGCGAGCGAUCGACCAAAUGUCGGGGUGGUUUUCCACGGGCCGAUUGCCCUCCUGGGCUAUGCACCCUGGUUUUUAGCGGGGAUCCCCCCGGGAUAACGAGCUACCAAAUGAGCCCUAAGAGAGUCUUGUUUUCCCUUUCCUUCUCCCAUCUACGCCUUCCUCAUCGGCUAUUCCAUUGGAUGAUUUGCUCUCUUGAUUAUUCUCUACUCUGAUCAGCCAUGGCAGAUAGUACUCUUACCCCAUCAAGGAGAGCUUCAGUUAGGAACUCAAACUCAAGUACAAUGGGAAGAACAGGAACACCUUCCACUCAUGUCGACCAUUUGCAAUAGCUGCCCUAAAAUAAGGCACUAUCCCUUUUCAAGGCACUUAAGGCAAAAACAAACCCCUCCAACGGCUGCCCUAGAACAAAUAAUUUUUUUUUCUGAAAACUUGGGUUGUCCUAAAAUAUAGCAAUUGGUACUACAAAUAUACAAAACCAUGGGCAGCUGCCGCAAAAUAAAACAACUUGUAGCUCAACCUGCAGCCUCCAUCCACAGCCGCAUGCAACCGCCGCCCCCUCUCCAGUGUCACCGUCAUCUCAAGAUCCAUGAUCGCCGCCGGAUCCACUCACCUCCGAUCGUCGCCGCCUACUGGACCGAUCAAAUUUCCGCGCGCCGCACCAAAUUCACUGCACCGCACUGCUGCAGCCGAAUCCGCUGCAUCCUCAUCACCUCUCAUACAUCAAUGGUUGUUCCUCCACCGCCACAACAUCCUCCUUUUCCUCCGUCCGCAGCUAACCCACCGCAGCCACCAUGCGGAAGGGAAAGGGCACGACCGGGUUCAAGGGGUGCGGCCGCGGCCGUCCGGCAAGUUCAGCGUCGAGUAACAGCAUGCCGCCCGGUGGUACUGGCUCAACACCCUCUUGACGCUAGACAUUACUGCCCGCGCCAACGACAUCGCGGCGUGGAUGCUCAGCCUACCACAUGAGAGGCUCAACUUCCUGGAGAUCGAGUGUCUGCAGAGACCACCCUGAGUACGCGCAAUAGGAGAUGCAGUUCUACUAGAAAUCUAGAAUAGGGAUCUCGAGAAGUGGAAGCUGUAGAAUUGUAUUAAAUAAUUGUUGAUGCAAUAUUGUGCCGGUACAAGAAGUAUAUAUAAGAGCCAAGCCGCACCUGACCUAGCCUUAUUACAAACCGAGUAGGAGUCAUAAUCCUAAUACAAGUUGUAUUCUAACAUCCCCCGCAGUGUCAACGGUAGGCUCGACGACGUUGAGACUGAAAUGAAUGUCUUGAAACGGAGUAGUCGCCAGGCCUUUAGUAAAGAUAUCAGCAAACUGAGCAGAAGUAGGCACGUGGAGAACGCGAACUUGACCGAGAGCCACCUUCUCUCGAACAAAAUGAAUGUCGAUCUCAAUACGCUUGGUGCGACGGUGUUGAACUGGAUUCCCGGACAUGAGGACAGCUGAAAUAUUAUCACAGUAAACAAUGGUAGCUUGCUCAAUAGGACGGUGCAGCUCCGACAGCAACUGGCGCAACCAAACCAUAUCAGGAACCGCAUGAGCCACAGCGCGGUACUCAGCUUCAGUCGACGAGCGGGAGACCGUAACCUGCCUUUUUGAAGACCAAGAAACUAAAUUGUUACCAAGAAAAACACAAAAUCCUGAUGUGGACCUAUGAUUAUCUGGACAACCAGCCCGGUCUGCAUCUGAGUAAGCUGUCAAGGAGGUGGGAGAGGAUUUGUUGAUAUGAAGACCCAAGUCUAGUGUGCCUUUGAGAUACCGAAGAAUAUGUUUGACAUGAUUGUAGUGGGGAAUACGAGGAUCAUGCAUGUAUAAACAAGCUUGUUGGACAGCAAAAGAAAUUUCAGGACGAGUGAGAGUGAGAUACUGAAGUGCACCGGUAAGACUCCGAUAAAGAGAAGGAUCAGAGAAAGGAUCAUUGUCGGCAGAGAGUUUGGAACCUGUAUCAACAGGGGUACGGGAAGUUUGACAAUCAAGCAUACCAGCACGAGAAAGUAGAUCCAGAGUGUACUGACGGUGAGCCAAGCCGCACCUGACCUAACCUUAUUAUAAACCGAGUAGGAGUCAUAAUCCUAAUACAAGUUGUAUUCUAACAGAAGCGCAAGAACGACAGCGAGGCAGGACCUUCGCGGGUCAAGGAGGAGGAUGCAUGCCCCUCCAGUGUGGUCAACCGCUGUUCCAGCGACGAGAGUGACGUGUCCGACGAGAGUUACAUGUCCGCCGAAAUUGACGGGGACAACCUGUAGUGUUUCUAGUUUAAGUUUGCAUGUAGUAGUUGAGCUAUGUUUGUAGUUUGCAUGUUUAAACUUUGAAUGUGUGGAACUUUGGAUCGAAGUAUGAAAUAUGGUCGAAGAGUUUGAAUGUUUGUUUGGAAGAAAUGAGGUUUUGCUGUUUUGGGUGCCCUAUUUUAGGGGAGCUGUUGAAGACACUGAAUUUUCCAUGUCCUAAAAAGCACUUUUUAGUGCCCACAAAUUUAACCCACACACAUUUUGUUCAAUGGGUGGAGAAAGCUCCACCCAUUAUUCCCCUCCUCUGCAUGAACUAACAUCGGUUAAUGAUUACUUUUGGGGGGAAUGGGCGAGAUAGCAGAGAAUUUAUAUGCCAUUUCUUGCUGGAGUCAGUGGGACGGCGGACUGAUUAUUUAGUUGUCAGUUGUCCAAUGUGUAGUGUUUACAAUGAUGGUUAUGCAGAUUUUAGAUGAGUGUUUCAGCCGAUGAUUGUCUCACGAGUCUCCUCGAUUACCUGUUAUAGGGGUUUGGACACUGAAUUUUGUGUAGCUUCUCCCCCAGGUUUAUCUACACACAUAAUUGGGGAGAAGUGUAAAUUUGCGACCAGAUACUGUGAACUGUGGUCAGAAUUCUGAAGCAUAUUCUUCUCCCUGAUUGUAAAAGACCAAAACUUGUUGGUGAAUCAGUCAUCUGCUAGAUUGCUGCUGCCUGCUGCUACUAUGAACAGAGUGGAAAGACCCUAGGAGAGCACGAGCUUCUGUGUAUGCAUCAUUAAUCGACUUUUUUUAUGCGCAUGCUCCUCUUUAACUCAUUUGUAUGAAGUGCACAAUGGCAAUUAUUUCAGUUUUUCCUUGUUUGUAGUAAUCCAUCCUUUUAUAAUGGGGAAACACUUGUUAUCUGUAGUCUGGUAGAAAGACAACAUCAGACCCCUCCUUGUCCAUCGAUUCCAAUUCAAUCCCACGGUGGAGAAAUUAAGCACUGACCCUUGUUCCUAUAAUUCCUCUCAGCUGUUGCUAACUACCCGUACAUCACGCAUUAAUGAUCGCAUAUCCCUUAUCUCUCUCGUCUGCUCCAUCUCUCCUGCUCCCCUCCUUCGUCUCUCCCGCAUGCACGCUCCAGCUCGCCAUCAACAUCGCCGCUUCUAUCCUCUUCGAUUUCUCAGCCCAGAUUCAAUCUGCUGCACAUCGUGCGUCCUUCCCACCUCGUUUCCGGCCACAACAUCCACCACACGGCCCAGAUCCAAACCUAAACCCAUGCGUGAUCUGCUCCAUGAUGCAGCCACCAGUGAGCUCGCCUGUGCGACAUCCCUACAGCAGGUGCUUGUGCCCGCCAUCUCCAUCAUACAUCACAGGUUGGACGGAGGCUGUAGGUGUGCCCGACAUCUCAACCACCCCUCGAUCGGUGAACUAGCAGUGACCACCCUUGAUUGUUCUUCCCUUUUUAUUUCUAGAUUUGAAUCCAUUUUUACCAUUGAUUGAUGGUAAUUUAUUCAAAUUGAUUCCAUGUUUUUAUCUUGUUCUGCCUUGUUUUUAUGUGUGCAUAAAAAAAUAGAACCAAUCAAUUUGAAUGGAAUUGGUUUGCAAAUCACAAAAUGAUGCGCAUGCAUAUGUUGGCAGUAAGCGUUGUGAAUUUCUACUUUCAGUUUUUAUGCUUCCAUUCUUUUAUUGAAAUAACAUGAAAUUGGUGCUUUGAGAUAUCCAUGCUUCCUAAUCUGAUCUAUAUUUCUUCAGUUCAGGUACUUUACCGCAAUAUAGAACCAUGCUUCGAAAUGUUUAUUUUUAAGCAUCCAACGUUUCUGUACAUGUAUUUUGAUUUUCGAACCUUCUUUCUAGUACUUGUUGUUGCUUCCUACCUUCUAUUAUUAUGCAUCAUGCCUAAACUUAUUAUGCUUCAAAGGUACCUAUAGGUCGUCGACGCCAGCCAGGUGGGAUGCUAACCAGCAGGCAUGAGGAGCUCAAGGAUAGGGGGGCGCCAGCAGCAUGCAGACGAGUCACGAUGACAAGUAGAAGAAUCGGCAAUGGAAACUGAUGGCAAUGGCGACGAAAACUUUUGGCACGAUGAUAACUUAACUCAUGAUAAUGGUCGAUGGGCCUGCUUGCUUCCCAACACAUGGAAUAACAAGCGAUGCGGUUGCAUCGUCAAGCUCCGUGAAGCAAAUAGGAAGCAUAUAUGUAGCUUGGAAAUAGGAAACGACAUGGGCGGACGCUUGUCAAUGUUUAUGAAAGCAAACAAGAACCUAUUAGGAAGCAUAUGUGGCACAAUCAAUCAAAAGAAAUAUUUGUGAUUACCGAUCUCAUAAAAAAGGUUAUCCUUAUAAUUUGAGGUGUUUUCUUCAAGAAGCAAACUCACCGUAGGAAGGGAGAACAAUUAUAUUUCUCUAGAUGCACACUCCCUGUUCGGUUGAAGCAUGUGCGAUUGUGAUAGCGAAAAUAAGUGUGCUUUUGAUGGAAGCAAAUUCCUAUUACGUAUGAAGCAAUACUAUAGUUUCUGGAAACAAUAUUGUGAUCUUUUUUCACCAAAUUGAGCCGAAUCUAAUUCACCCUGGAAGCUAAUUGUCCAAUCGACAUAAACACGUACGAUUUCAUUGUUAUGGAAAGAAACAAAAAUGUUAGGGAGUAGAAUAAUUUGCAACAAAUUGAAAUACAUUGGAUACAAUGUUUUCUACGUGAAAACAGGGAUUAUUUUCCUAAAAUAGGGGGCUAAUUACUCGUCAAUCCCACAUUACUAGCGCUGGAUUAGUUACCAUAGAAAAUAAACGCAAUCAUCAUUGAUGCAGAAGCGGUCCCACCGAAUUAGUGAUCCAGUCAACCGGAUCUCUUGCCUGGACCAAGUAGCAGAUCCAACGUACGUGUUGCUUCCGAUCCAACCGCUAAUGAAUGGUCUGAUAGGAUGCAAUUAGCAGUAGUCUGAUGCCUAGCGGCGUCCUUUAUAAUGUCCCAUUUAUUAAGGAUUGUAAGGAAUUAACAAAGAAGUGUAACGGAGCGUCAGCAGAAUGGAGUAGCAUUCAAAUAGUGGACUUUGCCCAUGGCAGGAGCAUGAACAUUGUUCUUCUGCCUCCCAUUUGUUGUGUCAGCUCCCAUGCACGGGUGCUCCAAUCAAUAGCAGGGUAGACUACCGCAACCAACAAUCGCUACACAGGAGUAUCGCCCCCGGCAAUACCUAUUAACUGCGCAGGUCUCUGAGUAGCGACGUAUCGUGUACUGCCAUCGCAAGCUUCAAAGUUAAUAGGGGACGUUUUUUUCACCCUGUUCUGCACUGUGUUUGCAAAAGUUCUAGAACCUUUCGUGUCCAUUUUUUUUGUUUCCAUUCGGUUUUCUACAGCUUUUACUUUCCAUUUAUUUUAGAUUUCACAAACAAUUUUUAUUAUCAAGCAUUUUUGUAUUUCAUGAAAUUUGUGAAAUCGCAAUUUUUUUGAAAAUUUUCAACAUCUAAUAUUUCAUAAAUUUAUAAAUUUUUCAUCAAUUUAUGAAGAUUUUUUAGGAAUUUAAAAAUAUUUAAAUUUUGGGAGCCUUUUUUUUUCAAAAAUCAUGAACAUUUUGAAUUCAUGAACAUUAUUUUAUCCACCAAAAAAAUUCAAAUUCGCAAACAUUUCUGUAAUCCAUGAAUUUUUUUUGAUUUCAUAUACAUUUUUAUUUUGAAUUCAUGAACACUUUUUGCAAAGUCCUGAACAUUUUUUAUAUUCUCAAAAAUGUUUUGCAAAAUCAUGAACAUUUUUUAUCCUUGGAGAUUUUUUAACUGGCAGAGACUAUUGUCAAAAUCAUUAAAAACUUCAAAUUCGUGAACAUUUUGUCAAAUUCGGGAACUUUUUCUGAAUUAAUAAAUAAUUUCCAAAUUCAGAAUUUUUUGAAAAUUCAUGAAUAUUUUUUGAAUUCGUCUAUACUCUUUUUAUUAACAAGCAUGUAUUUUUUCUAAAAUUCAUGAAUAUAUUUUGAAUUUGUCUAUGUUUUAUUUUUAUUCAUAAGCAUGUAUGUUUAUAGUUUUUUGAAAAUAUCUUAAUACUAAACCAACCAAAUAAGAAACAACAGAAAGGAACCAUUGAAGAAAGUCUAUUUUAAGUACUAAUUGUUGAACUCUGUAGGUCGUCCAAUUUAGCGCACGNNNNNNNNNNNNNNNNNNNNNNNNNNNNNNNNNNNNNNNNNNNNNNNNNNNNNNNNNNNNNNNNNNNNNNNNNNNNNNNNNNNNNNNNNNNNNNNNNNNNNNNNNNNNNNNNNNNNNNNNNNNNNNNNNNNNNNNNNNNNNNNNNNNNNNNNNNNNNNNNNNNNNNNNNNNNNNNNNNNNNNNNNNNNNNNNNNNNNNNNNNNNNNNNNNNNNNNNNNNNNNNNNNNNNNNNNNNNNNNNNNNNNNNNNNNNNNNNNNNNNNNNNNNNNNNNNNNNNNNNNNNNNNNNNNNNNNNNNNNNNNNNNNNNNNNNNNNNNNNNNNNNNNGAGCUCUCAACCCCCAUUCCCAGUAAUGCACGUGGCACUUGCCCAUUAGCCUAAUAGAAUCGUGUUCAUGAAUAGGGAAGCCUCAGGUUGUGAUGGACUAUCUAUACAUGGUUUUAUUUAUAUCCGGAAAAGGAACCUCUACACAGUUCUAACCUGUUCCAUAAAAUUUCUCAACUGCGCAAGAAGGAAAAAAACAUGAAAAGCUUGGUCACUGCGAUGUCUUCGCAUUCAUGAAUUAAUUCUAGCCAUUCAUUAGUCAGUUGAUUGAUUAAUUGAUUGUCAUAGCAGCUUCCAGGUUUAGAUUUUGGGUCCUGAUAACGCCCACACGUGUGGCAUAUCAGACAUCCGUUCACACACCGUGUGUGGCGUGAACAGGAGGCAGCCCACACGGGCUGUGUGUGGGCCAACGUUAGAAUUGCCCACAUGUGUGAGCACAACUACUUCAUGUCAUACGCCCAACAAGUACUACUCAUCUCUAUCCCGCGUGUGUGGCACGAAGCAAAAAUGCCCACACGUCCUGGCGCAACUACGGUUGCCAUCCGGGAUGGUAGAUGUAGUUAUCCGGGAUGGCAAAUGUAGUUGUAAAAGCAUGUCAACUCUAUCUGUUUUGGUUAACUAUAGUUGUCAUGUCUAAUUUAUAAUAGUUGCCAUGUGUGUUUACCUAGUUGCCACGUCUGGUCCAACCAUAGUUGUCAUGUAUGGUUAAUCACAGUUACCAUGUGUGUUUAUCUGGUUGCCACGUAUGCGCAACUGCAGUUGCCGUCUAGCAACGAGUCAUAGUUUCCAUAUGGGUUUACCUAGUUGCCAAGUACGCGUAACUGCAGUUGCCAUCCAACAACGUACGAGUGUUGUGUGGGCGAAAAGCAGUUCGCCCACACACGAGUGGACUAGGUAGUGGCUGUGUGGCCAGAAACUAGUUCGUCCACACAGCGCAGCUGGCAAACCGCAUGCUGCGGGGCAUGUGGGCGAACUCUCCAACGCCCACACACCAGCCCCGUCCUACGUGGCACGCAAAUUCUGCCUCAAUGUGUCAAGAUUCGUGCAACUCGACUGGACGGUGAUCCACGCGUGUGGGCGACUUACAAAAUUGCCACACGUGUGGGCGUUGUCAUUUAGGUAGAUUUUUGACUUGAAUUUAGGGUGCGUAGUGUCCCCCUUCACUAUUAACACAGUUUUGUUGGGGAACGUACUAAUUUCAAAAAAUUUCCUACGCACACGCAAGAUCGUGGUGAUGCAUAGCAACGAGAGGGGAGAGUGUGUCCACGUACCCUUGUAGACCGAAAGCGGAAGCGUUAGCACAACGCGGUUGAUGUAGUCGUACGUCUUCACGAUCCGACCGAUCAAGUACCGAACGCACGGCACCUACGAGUUCAGCACACGUUCAGCCCGAUGACGUCCCUCGAACUCCGAACCAGCCGAGUGUUGAGGGAGAGUUUCGUCAGCACGACGGCGUGGUGACGAUGAUGAUGUUGUACCGACGCAGGGCUUCGCCUAAGCACCGCUACAGUAUUAUCGAGGUGGACUAUGGUGGAGGGGGGCACCGCACACGGCUAAAAGAUCAACAGAUCAAUUGUUGUGUCUCUAGGGUGCCCCUGCCCCCGUAUAUAAAGGAGCAAGGGGGGAGAGGCGGCCGGCCAGGAGGGGCGCGCCAGGAGGAGUCCUACUCCCACCGGGAGUAGGACUCCCUCCCUUUUCCUUGUUGGAUUAGGAGUGGAGAGGGGAGGAGAGAGAGGGGGAAAGGAAAGGGGGGGGGCGCCGCCCCCCCUCCUUGUCCAAUUCGGACUUGGGGGGGGGGGGAGGGGCUGCCCCUUGGCCGCCUCUCCUCUUCCACCAAUUGGGCCCAUGAAGCUCCCGGGGGUUCCGGUAAACCCCCGGUACUCCGGUAUAUAUCCGAUAACCCCCGGAACCACUACUAGGAAAAGGCCUACUAGUGGCGCACCAGGUUUUCCUACUAAUGGCGCAUUACUGGUGCGCCACUAGUACCACGCCACUAGUAUUUUUUACUAAUGGUGCACCACUGGUGCACCAUUAGUAUCUGGUACUAAUGGCGCACCACUGGUGCGCCAUUAGUAUAGGCCACGGUGCGCCAUUAGUAUUUUUGAAUUUUGAAGGCGGGAAAAUAGUAGUGGCGCACCGUCUAACCCCCACCGUGCGCCAUUGCUAUUUUUGAAUUUGGAUCUGGAUCGCGAAUUUUUUGCCCAUUUUUUGCUCGUUUUUUUUUCAAAUUUUGUUCUCGUUUUUGGAUCUUGUACGUUAUUUUGCCGUGUUCUUUUGCCGGAGAGGAGUUCGCCGGAGAGGAGGGCCGAGGUCACCGGAGAGGCGCUCGCCUACAUCGCCGGAGAGGAGGAGGAGGUCGCCCGAGAGGAGUUCACCGGAGCAUCGGAGAGGAGGAAGGAGAAACCAUGAGGGGAGGGGAGGAGAGGAGGGAGGAGGAGCUCACCGGAGAGGAGGGAGGAGGAGCUCACCGGAGAGGAGGGAGGAGAAACCGUGAGGGGAGGGGAGGAGAGGAGGGAGGAGGAGGUCGCCGGAGAGGAGAAGGAGGAGGAGGAGGUUGCCGGAGACGAGGAGGGUAGUAUGGUGGAGGAGAGAAGGGGAGAUGGAGUGGAGGAGAGGAGGAGAUGGAGUGGAGGAGAGGUGGAGUGGAGGAGAAGAAUGAAGAGGUAAGGAGGAGAGGACCACGCCCAGCCAUAUAUACGGCAUAGCGGCAUAGUAAUGGCGCACCGUGGGCAGGUGCGCCAUUACUAACUUUUUUUUUAUUUUUUUGAUUUAUUUUGAAUUUUGAAGGUGGGAAGAUAGUAAUGGCGCACCAUGGGCAGGUGCGCCAUUAGUAAGUUUGAAAUUUUUUUGAAUUUUUUUGCCUCUCCAGAUCUUAAAAGCCCCGUAUCUUUUUUUCUGUUAGGUUUUGAGGAUUUUGAAAGUGUUUAACAAGGUUCCCCCGAUUAAAUUCGGAUGUAUCUUUUCGAGUAGAUGAUUUUUCAUAUAAAAAACUUUUUCAUCCGAGUUCGUAUGCAAAAGUUAUGCCCAUUUUACAAAUUCUCGAGAGAUUUUGCAAAAAAGUCGAAAAUUCAUGUUUGUAAAUUUUGCUAACAACUAGACCACAUAUCACAUGGGAAUCUUAUUUUAUUUUAUUUUUUUUACAUUUCUAUCAUUUUCUUUUAUUUUUUUGAAACUGAAAAGGCGGUCCGGGGGUGCAUUCGGGGGAAUGUUUGGACCAAAUUACUAAUGGCGCACCGUGGGAGUGGUGCGCCAUUACUAGUUUAAAAAAUAAAAUAAAAUAAAUUUGAUUUUUUUUUUGAAACAUAACAAGUUUUGAAAAAAAAUUACUAAUGGCGUACCGUUCAUGUGGUGCGCCAUUAGUAUUUACACACUAAUGGCGCACCAACACAUGGUGCGCCAUUAGUGUCCAUAUUGGCUAUAGCUGUUUUCGUAGUAGUGAACCAUUCCGGUGUCCGAAUAUAGUCGUCCAAUAUAUCAAUAUUCAUGUCUCGACCAUUUCGAGACUCCUCGUCAUGUCCGUGAUCACAUCCGGGACUCAGAACUACCUUCGGUACAUCAAAACAUAUAAACUCAUAAUAUAACUGUCAUCGAAACUUUAAGCGUGCGGACCCUACGGGUUCGAGAACUAUGUAGACAUGACCGAGGCACGUCUCCGGCCAAUAACCAAUAGCGGAACCUGGAUGCUCAUAUUGGCUCCCACAUAUUCUACAAAGAUCUUUAUCGGUCAGACCGCAUAACAACAUACAUUGUUCCCUUUGUCAUCGGUAUGUUACUUGCCCUGGAUUCGAUCGUCGGUAUCUCAAUACCUAGCUCAAUCUCGUUACCGGCAAGUCUCUUUACUCGUUCUGUAAUACAUCAUCCCGCAACUAACUCAUUAGUUGCAAUGAUUUGCAAGGCUUAAGUGAUGUGCAUUACCGAGUGGGCCCAGAGAUACCUCUCCAACAAUCGGAGUGACAAAUCCUAAUAUCGAAAUAUGCCAACCCAACAAGUACCUUCGGAGACACCUGUAGAGCACCUUUAUAAUCACCCAGUUACGUUGUGACGUUUGGUAGCACACAAAGUGUUCCUCCGGUAAACGGGAGUUGCAUAAUCUCAUAGUCAUAGGAACAUGUAUAAGUCAUGAAGAAAGCAAUAGCAGAAUACUAAACGGUCGUGUGCUAAGCUAACGGAAUGGGUCAAGUCAAUCACAUCAUUCUCCUAAUGAUGUGAUCCCGUUAAUCAAAUGACAACUCAUGUCAAUGGCUAGGAAACAUAACCAUCUUUGAUCAACGAGCUAGUCAAGUAGAGGCAUACAAGUGACACUCUGUUUGUCUAUGUAUUCACACAAGUAUUAUGUUUCCGGUUAAUACAAUUCUAGCAUGAAUAAUAAACAUUUAUCAUGAUAUAAGGAAAUAAAUAAUAAUUUUAUUAUUGCCUCUAGCGCAUAUUUCCUUCAAGUUUGGGUUGUAGCUUCAAAUUUGAUGCUGAAUUGUUCCCUUUUUAGGCCAUUGGCGUCGAGUGGUUUUAUACGCUAUAUGUAUAUUCCCUUUCUAUAUUGGCCUGAUGAGGAUUAUAAUUUUGAUUAUGUAAAUGAAUGUUUCAUUUAUAUAUGCAAACGAAGCUGUAGUUCUUGUUGUUUAAAUAGUAAUUAUGAUAUUAUUUUGUGGUCAAGUACUUAUGAUACUUUUUUAACUAAUCAUCUCAUACGCUACUUGUGCAACAAUGCAGAAGUAUUAAGGCUUACUUUCAGGAUGGUGAACCGUGAUGUGUCAAAGUUACUUUAUAAUCCUUUGUGGAUACGGUAUUGCGGAACUAAAGAUGGGUUGGUUAAACAAACACUAGGAUGUGAAAAACUAGUUGGGUAAGGUAUAGUAUCAUAAUCAACUCAGAUGCCAUACAUUUACCAAGCUCAUCUUGUUUCUUUUACUAUUCUAUUUUCAUAAUAUACAACGGCAUCGACGGCUAACCUCCAACUCCCCUCCCGUUGAUCCCGGCACUGAAACAGGAGUUAUCCUAACCGAGCACUUCCCGUCAAGGGGUUCGGCUUAACGCCACUCAUGGUGUACCACUCUAUUGAUGAAAAUAGUUGAGUAUAUUGCAGUUAAGGGGUUUUGGGAUCCCAAAACUAAAUCUGUUUGUAUGUAUGUGCCACUUUUAUAUGUACAACAAGCCAUAUAAUAUUUUGUAUUAAUGGUCUAUAACUUAUUUCCAUUUUGCCUCCGAUACAAUUUUACAAUGAUCUCCUAGGACCAGUUAAAUUAGUCAAACAAAAAAUGUAUGCAUACACUUGAGCACUUGUUUCGUAAUUUACUUUGUUGCGAGCUCAACAUUUUAAAAAAACUGGUCCCCAAGUAAACUGCUAGAAAAUUUCAACUAAUUUGAGUUUAUCUUUAUUUUUAGGGAACAUAAAUUAGUAAGAUUAUCAUAUACCAGAUUCAGAUUAGAUUUAUUUACAAUGUGCUUGGGGAGGAAGAUGAGAAGACGUUGAUGUUGGUCGUGCCAUUGAUGGCGAUGGAAGCCAUGCGGAGGAGAUCAAGAGCAUUAACAACCUCUUGGCCCCGCUCGAUGUUGUUGCCGCCAUCAACAUCAACAACAUGGACCCUCUCGCGAGGCAGCUCCUGGAGCACCGGGGCUAGGGUUCUCUCUAGAAGAAGAACAUGCUGCUGACCAAGAUAUUGAACGCAGAUGAGAAGCACGACAACGACGGGGGGAGAAAAGACGGUUACCACCACGGGAGAAGAUGACUAUGACAAACCCAAGUGAUGUGCAUGAGAAUCAUAAGAUAUGUGUUAGUUUGUAACAUAUAAUUGUCUGGAUCAUUGCUCUCUAUGUUUACAUCAUCGAGUUACAUUGCAGUUGAAGUGAAUUCCAAUUUUUUUCCAAAAUUUUGCAGGUUAUCCUUUAUAUAUAUGAAAAAUAUGAUAUACAUUAUAUUCGCAAUCAGAACAAAUCUAUACAUGUGAAAUUUGAUAUGCAUUGUAUUCAUAGGUGUAAGCGGGAAAAAAAUGAAAAGCCUAUGGCAAUGCACGGGCGGGCGUUCUACUAGUAUCAAUUAAUGUGGUCCACCUACAGUCACAUAAUUCCUUAGAUAUUAGAUAUAGCAAAUUCUUUAUUGAUAAUAAUAUCAUUAAUAAAUGCAUGAUUCUAUAUCCAGCUAUCUAUCUGCAGAAUAAAGACACAAGAUUUCAUUAAUAAAUGGAGCAUUGUAUAUCUCCCUACCUCUGCACACAGAAUAAAUUGGUCAAAAAAAAAUCUAUGCCACAAAUGAUGCUUAUCUACAGAAAAUAGUGUUGCGGAAAGAACCAAACCUGUAACAUUAAAUUAGGUCGACCUACAAUCACAUAGAGUAUUUCUUUAGAUUUUUGGUACACAUAAUUCUUUCUUGAUAAAACUUAACAUUAAUAAAUGGAGAUUGUAUAUCCAACUAUCUAUAUGUGCUAUCUAUAUGCAGAAUAAAGAAACAGAUUUCACUAAUAAAUGGAGCAUUGUAUAUCUCCCUACCUAUGCACACAAAAUAAAUUGAUUGAAGACAAAAAUCAAUGACAGGAAUGAGUCUUAUCUGGGGAAAAUAUUGUGGCAGAAAGAUAGGAACCUAGGACAUUGAAUCAGGUCCACUUACGAUCAUUAAUUAAUGGAGGAUUAUAUAUAUCCAAUAAUAUAUAUGAAAGAAAAAAUAUUUCAUUAAUAAAUUGAACAUUGUAUAUCUCCCUACCCAUGCACACACAAUAAAUUGACCGAAGAAACAAAAUCUAUGACACUAAUGAGGUCCACUUACAAUCUUGAACUAGCACUAUGCAUAUCUUUUCGACUUAAAUGCUAGCAAUUAAUUGUUGCUCACCGCACCAUCUAUAUAAUCCUACUAUCUGGAUGCCCCCAAGCAACAAUUUCAACUUAUUGUGAGUUAAUACUUUCAUAGACAUGGAGCACUUUUGUUUCUUGGUCAUCCUCUCACUCUCUGGCUUGGCUGUGGCCUUGCAGCUGACCACUCCGUGCAACGCUGCGCAAGCUCAGCCACCACCAGUCUACGACAUAGAUGGCCACGAGCUAACAGGUAACAACAUGUACACCAUCAUGGCAGCAGAUCGCAAUCUGAGCGACCAUUGUAUCUCCGUUGGCUCAUUUCGGAGUGAGGAAUGUCAUAAGCAUGCGACCCUGACACCGUGCAAGCAAUUUGGCGGGAUGAGAGGCGUGCAUGUGUCGAUCAAGCCGGCGGAGGCGAGCGAUGGCUCUAGCAAGGAGGCGUCAAUCCGCCUCUCGACCGAUGUCGUGAUCGAAUUUAAAGGCGUGGUCACCUGGUGCAAGCACCAUCUCCGGUGGUACGUCCAUGGAGAGAACACGAACCAGACGCAUGUGUCCGCCAGCUGCUUCAGAGGGAUGAACGGAUGCCAACCGUCGGCAGGCACAUGCAUGGAACAAAGUUUCCUAUUCCGCGUCGAGAGGCAUGGCACCGGGUACAAGCUGACAUCGUGCUUCAAUGCGCCAUGCCGCGAUCUUGUGUUGUUCGACUACGCCGGCCAAAGGUGGCUGACCGUAAAGAAAGAUGGGCGUGAGCCUCUGGUGGUCGUGUUCAAGAAGUUCCCUCUCGCCAGCUUGCCACCUGCGAGUGCUCCCCAACUAGGCUAGUGUGUAUGCUACUAUGUAUGUGUACUUGCUUGAGCGUUCGAUGCAAGGAAUAAUUUCUAGUACAAGCAUGGAACUGUCCUAUUUUGCUGGUCACUGUUCGAUGCGACAAGGGGCGGCCGACGGACGGAACUCUGUUGUAGCAGGCGGCAGCUCGCUCAAGUUAACACACACUUCUCUCUGUGUGUGUGUGUGUGUGUGUGUGUGUCUGUGUGUGUGUGUUUCGAGAGAAAACUAUGGGAAAGUGAAGACAUGUAGGAUUGCGAUCCAACGGUUACAAUUACACAGGGUUGCAUCGGACGGCCGUGCGGUGAUCGGCCAAAAUUUGGAACGGUCGACUGACUUCUAGUGUUCACCUUUUCACUUUCUCUUUGAUUUGUUUGCUCUGUUUGUGGCGUGUUGCCCAUUGUCCACAUGGCUCCAAGAGAGUUAAGCUGCCAUCGUUGGUCAUGCUAUCUAGGCGACGCAGAGGGCACGGCGCAAGGCCCAGGUGCAGCGCCCCUAAUCCAUGUUCGUUUCCAUGUCCCUGGUGCUGGUGAGCUGCUCUGCCAACGCCCCACCGUUGGCUGUUCAUGGAGGAGCCGACCGUUGGCUGCGGUGCUUCUCCUCCUCCUCAUAAGCGAGUCUUCCUUUUCCUUUCCCUCUUCCAUCUACCCCUUCCUCAUCGCCUAUGCCAUUGGUUGAUCUGCUCUCUUCACUGUUCUCUACUCAGAUCAGCCAUGGCAGAUACUACUCUUACCCCAUCAAGGAGAGCUUCAGUUGGGACUCGCGCUCAAGCACAAUGGCAUGAACAGGAACCCCUUCCGCUCCUAUCGAGCAUAUCCAAUAGCUGAUCCAAACUGGGGAACUGCCCCUUUUUAGGGCAAUUGAGGCAAAACAAAACCCUCCAGCAGCUGCCCUCUCACAAAAAUUUGCUCAAAACUUUUUGGGCUGCCCUAAAAUACAGCAGACGGUGCUGCAAAUAUACAGCACUGUGGGCGACUGCCGUAAAAUAAAAUGGCUCGUAACCAAGCUUCAAAAUAUCGGAUAUCGGGUUCCUAUCGGUUUGGCUUCGACAUAUCGGAUAUUGAAUAUCGGGUGAUAUAUCGGACGAUAUAUAGAUAUAUCGGAGAAACCAAGUCUAGUUUUUUUUCAUUAUUCUUGUUCAAAACAUUAACUUUUAGUAAAUGAAAAUGUAUGAUCUCAAUGCUUUAACAUAACACUUUUAGAUUCCUAGUUUAGUAACUUGUUGAUAUAGAAACUAAUAAGGAAGGACUCACAAAAUCCUUACUCUAUGAUUAAAAACAAUAACAUAUAUAUGAAGGAAAUAUGCCCUAGAGGCAAUAAUAAAGUUAUUAUUUAUUUCGUUAUAUCAUGGUAAAUGUUUAUUAUUCAUUCUUUGUGUGCUACCAAACGUUAGCUUAGCACUUGAUCGUUUAGUAUUCUGCUAUUGCUUUCUUCAUGACUUAUACAUGUUCCUAUGACUAUGAGAUUAUGCAACACCCGUUUACCGGAGGAACACUUUGUGUGCUACCAAACGUCACAACGUAAAUGGGUGAAUAUAAAGGUGCUGUACAGGUGUCUCCAAAGGUACUUGUUGGGUUGGUGUAUUUCGAGAUUAGGAUUUGUCACUCCGAUUGUCGGAGAGGUAUCUCUGGGCCCACUCGGUAAUGCACAUCACUAUAAGCCUGGCAAGCAUUGUAACUAAUGAGUUAGUUGCGGGAUGACGUAUUACGGAACGAGUAAAGAGACUUGCUGGUAACGAGAUUGAACUAGGUAUUGAGAUACCGACGAUCGAAUCUCGGGCAAGUAACAUACCGAUGACAAAGGGAACAACGUAUGUUGUUAUGCGGUUUGACCGAUAAAGAUCUUCGUAGAAUAUGUGGGAGCCAAUAUGAUCAUCCAGGUUCGGCUAUUGGUUAUUGACCGGAGACGUGUCUCGGUCAUGUCUACAUUGUUCUCGAACACGUAGGGUCCGCACGUUUAAAGUUCGAUGACGGUUAUAUUAUGAGUUCGGAGUCCCGGAUGAGAUCGGGGACAUGACGAGGAGUCUCGAAAUGGUCUAGACGUAAAGAUCGAUAUAUUGGACGACUAUAUUCGGACAUCGGAAAGGUUCCGAGUGAUUCGGAUAUUUUUCGGAGUACGGAGUAUAUGGGCCUUAUUGGGCUUUAGGGGAAAGAGAGAGGAGAGGCUGGGCACCCCCCCAAGCCCUAGUCCGAAUUGGACUAGGGGGAGGGGCUGCGCCCCCUCCUUCCUUCUCUUCUCUCUCCCCUUUCCUUGACUCCUACUCCUACUACUUGGAAGGGGGGAUCCUACUCCCGAUGGGAGUAGGACUCCUCCUAGGGCACGCCAUAGAGAGGGCCGGCCCUCCCCCUCCUCCACUCCUUUAUAUACGGGGAGGGGGGCACUCCUUGGAGACACAACAAUUGAUCAUUGAUCUUUUAGCCGUGUGCGGUGCCCCCCUCCACCAUAGUCCACCUCGAUAAUAUCAUAGCGGUGCUUAGGCGAAGCCCUGCAUCGAUAGAACAUCAUCAUCGUCACCACGCCGUCGUGCUGACGAAACUCUCCCUCAACACUCGGCUGGAUCGGAGUUCGAGGGACGUCAUCGGGCUGAACGUGUGCUGAACUCGGAGGUGCCGUGCGUUCGGUACUUCAUCGGUCGGAUCGUGAAGACGUACGACUACAUCAACCGCGUUGUGCUAACGCUUCUGCUUUUGGUCUACGAGGGUACGUGGACACACUCUCCCCUCUGGUUGCUAUGCAUCACGAUGAUCUUGCGUGUGCGUAGGAAUUUUUUUGAAAUUACUACGUUUCCCUACAGUGGCAUCCGAGCCUGGUUUUAUGCGUAGAUGUUAUAUGCACGAGUAGAACACAAGUGAGUUGUGGGCGAUAUAAGUCAUACUGCUUACCAGCAUGUCAUACUUCGGUUCGGCGGUAUUGUUGGAUGAAGCGGCCCAGACCGACAUUACGCCUACGCUUACGCUUACGCGAGACUGGUUCUACCGACGUGCUUUGCACACAGGUGGCUGGCGGGUGUCAGUUUCUCCAACUUUAGUUGAACCGAGUGUGGCUACGCCCGGUCCUUGAGAAGGUUAAAACAUCACCAACUUGACAAACUAUCAUUGUGGUUUGAUGCGUAGGUAAGAACUGUUCUUGCUCAGCCCGUAGCAGCCACGUAAAACUUGCAACAACAAAGUAGAGGACGUCUAACUUGUUUUUGCAGGGCAUGUUGUGAUGUGAUAUGGUCAAGGCAUGAUGCUAUAUUUUAUUGUAUGAGCUGAUCAUGUUUUGUAACCGAGUUAUCGACAACUGGCAGGAGCCAUAUGGUUGUCGCUUUAUUGUAUGCAAUGCAAACGCCCUGUAAUGCUUUACUUUAUCACUAAGCGGUAGCGAUAGUCGUAGAAGCAUAAGUUGGCGAGACGACAACGAUGCUACGAUGGAGAUCAAGGUGUCGCGCCGGUGACGAUGGUGAUCAUGACGGUGCUUCAGAGAUGGAGAUAACAAGCACAAGAUGAUGAUGACCAUAUCAUAUCACUUAUAUUGAUUGCAUGUGAUGUUUAUCUUUUAUGCAUCUUAUUCUGCUUAGAUCGACGGUAGCAUUAUAGGAUGAUCUCUCACUAAAUUAUCAAGGUAUAAGUGUUCUCUCUGAGGAUGCACCGUUGCGAAAGUUCUUCGUGCUGAGACACCACGUGAUGAUCGGGUGUGAUAGGAUCUACGUUCAAAUACAACGGGUGCGAAACAGUUGCACACGCGGAAUACUCAGGUUAAACUUGACGAGCCUAGCAUAUAACAGAUAUGGCCUCGGAACACUGAGACCGAAAGGUCGAGCGUGAAUCAUAUAGUAGAUAUGAUCAACAUAGUGAUGUUCACCAUUGAAACUACUCCAUCUCACGUGAUGAUCGGACAUGGUUUAGUUGAUUUGGAUCACGUGAUCACUUAGAAGGUUUAGAUAGAUGUCUAUCUAAGUGGGAGUUCUUAAGUAAUAUGAUUAAUUGAACUUUAAUUUAUCAUGAACUUAGUCCUGGUAGUAUUAGCAUAUCUAUGUUGUAGAUCAAUAGCUCGCGUUUAGUUCCCCUGUUUUAUUUUUGAUAUGUUCCUAGAGAAAACUAAGUUGAAAGAUGUUAGUAGCAAUGAUGCGCAUUGGAUCCGUGAUCUGAGAAUUAUCCUCAUUGCCGCACAGAAGAAUUAUGUCCUUGAUGCACCGCUAGGUGACAGACAUAUUGCAGGAGCAGAUGCAGACGUUAUGAACGUUGGAGAAAGCUCGGUAUGAUAACUACUUGAUAGUUUAGUGCACCAUGCUUUACGGCUUAGAACCGGGACUUCAAAAAUGUUUUGAACACCACGGAGCAUAUAAGAUGUUCCAAGAGUUGAAAUUGGUAUUUCAUACUCAUGCCCGUGUCGAGAGGUAUGAGACCUCUGACAGUACUUUGCCUACAAGAUGGAGGAGAAUUGCUCAGCUAGUGAGCAUGUGCUCAGAAUGUCUGAGUACUACAAUCACUUGAAUCAAGUGGGAGUUAAUCUUCCAGAUAAGAUAGUGAUUGACAGAGUUCUCUAGUCACUAUCACCAAGUUACUAGAACUUCGUGAUGAACUAUAAUAUGCAAGGGAUAAACGGAAACGAUUCCCAAGCUCUUCGUGAUGCUGAAAUCGACGAAGGUAGAAAUCAAGAAAAGCAUCAAGUGUUAAUGGUUGACAAGACCACUCGUUUCAAGAAAAGGGCAAAGGGAAGAAGGGGAACUUCAAGAAGAACGGCAAGCAAGUUGCUACUCAAGUGAAGAAGCCCAAGUCUGGACCUAAGCCUGAGACUAAGUGCUUCUACUGCAAAGGGACUGGUCACUGGAAGCGGAACUGCCCCAAGUAUUUGGCGGAUAAGAAGGAUGGCAAAGUGAACAAAGGUAUAUUUGAUAUACAUGUUAUUAAUGUGUACUUUACUAGUGUUUAUAGCAACCCCUCAGUAUUUGAUACUAGUUCAGUUGCUAAGAUUAGUAACUCGAAAUGGGAGUUGCAGAAUGAACAGAGACUAGUUAAGGGUGAAGUGACGAUGUGUGUUGGAAGUGGUUCCAAGAUUGAUAUGAUCAUCAUCGCACACUCCCUAUACUUUCGAGAUUAGUGUUGAACCUAAAUAAGUGUUAUUUGGUGUUUACGUUGAGCAUGAAUACGAUUUGAUCAUGUUUAUUGCAACACGGUUAUUCAUUUAAUUUAGAGAAUAAUUGUUGUUGUGUUUACAUGAAUAAAACCUUCUAUGGUCAUACACCCAAUGAAAAUGGUUUGUUGGAUCUCGAUCGUAGUGAUACACAUAUUCAUAAUAUUGAAGCCAAAAGAUGCAAAGUUAAUAAUGAUAGUGCAACUUAUUUGUGGCACUGCCGUUUAAGUCAUAUUAGAGUAAAGCGCAUGAAGAAACUCCAUGCUGAUGGGAUUUUGGAAUCACUUGGUUAUGAAUCACUUGAUGCUUGCGAGCCAUGCCUUAUGGGCAAGAUGAAUAAAACUCCGUUCUCCGGAACAAUGGAGCGAGCAACUGACUUAUAUGAAAUAAUACAUACUGAUGUAUGCGAUCCGAUGAGUGUUGAGGCUCGCGGCGGGUAUCAUUAUUUUCUGACCUUCACAGAUGAUUUGAGCAGAUAUGGGUAUAUCUACUUGAUGAAACAUAAGUCUGAAACAUUUGAAAAGUUAAUAUAAUUUCAGAGUGAAGUAGAAAAUCAUCGUAACAAGAAAAUAAAGUUUCUACGAUCUGAUCGUGGAUGAAAAUAUUUGAGUUACGAGUUUGGCCUUCAAUUAAAACAAUGUGGAAUAGUUUCACAAACUCAUGCCACCUGGAACACCACAGGAUAAUGGUGUGUCCGAACGUCAUAACUGUACUUUAGUGAAUAUAGUACAAUCUAUGAUGUCUCUUACCGAUUUACCACUAUCUUUUUGGGGUUAUGCAUUAGAGACAGCUCCAUUCACGUUAAAAGUUCACCAUCUAAAUCCAUUGAGAUGACACCAUAUGAACUGUGGUUUGGCAAGAAACCAAAGUUGUCAUUUCUUAAAGUUUGGGGUUGCGAUGCUUAUGUGAAAAAGUUUCAUCCUGAUAAGCUCAAACCCAAAUUGGAGAAAUGUGUCUUCAUAAGAUACCCAAAGGAGACAGUUGGGUACACGUUCUAUCACAGAUCCGAAGGCAAGACAUUCGUUGCUAAGAAUGGAUCCUUUCUAGAGAAGGAGUUUCUCUCGAAAGAAGUGAGAGGUAGGAAACUAGAACUUGAUGAGGUAACUGUACCUGCUCCCUUAUUGGAAAGUAGUUCAUCGCAGAAAUCUGUUCCUGUGACUACUACACCAAUUAGUGAGGAAGCUAAUAAUGAUGAUCAUGUAACUUGAGAUAAAGUUACUACCGAACCUCGUAGGUAAACCAGAGUGAGAUCCGCACCAGAGUGGUACGGUAAUCCUGUUCUGAAGGUCAUGUUACUUGACCAUGACGAACCUACGAACUAUGAGGAAGCGAUGAUGAGCCCAGAUUCCGCGAAAUGGCUUGAGGCCAUGAAAUCUGAGAUGGGAUCCAUGUAUGAGAACAAAGUGUGGACUUUGGUUGACUUGCCCGAUGAUCGGCAAGCCAUGAAAAUAAAUGGAUCUUCAAGAGGAAGAUGGACGCUGAUAGUAGUGUUACUAUCUACAAAGCUAGACUUGUCGAAAAAGGUUUUGACAAAGUUCAAGGUGUUGAAUAUGAUGAGAUUUUCUCACUCGUAGCGAUGCUUAAGUCUGUCUAAAUCAUGUUAGCAAUUGCCGCAUUUUAUGAAAUUUGGCAAAUGGAUGUCAAAAUUGCAUUCCUUAAUGGAUUUCUUAAAGAAGAGUUGUAUAUGAUGCAACCAGAAGGUUUUGUCAAUCCAAAAGAUGCUAACAAAGUGUGUAAGCACCAGUGAUCCAUUUAUGGACGGGUACAAGCAUCUCGGAGUUGGAAUGUACGUUUUGAUAGUGUGAUCAAAGCAUAUAGUUUUAUACAGACUUGCGGUGAAACCUGUAUUUACAAGAAAGUGAGUGGGAGCACUACAGCCUUUCUGAUAAGUAUAUGUGAAUGACAUAUUGUUGAUCGGAAAUGAUGUAGAAUUUUUUGGAAAGCAUAAAGGAGUAUUUGAAAGGAGUUUUUUCAAAGAAAGACCUCAGUGAAGCUGCUUACAUAUUGAGCAUCAAGAUCUAUAGAGAUAGAUCAAGACGCUUGAUAAGUUUUUUCAAUGGGUACAUACCUUGCCAAGAUUUUGAAGUAGUUCAAAAUGGAACAGUCAAAGAAAGAGUUCUUGCCUAUGUUACAAGGUAUGAAAUUGAGUAAGAUUCAAAGCCCGACCAGACAGAAGAUAGAAAGAGAAUGAAAGUCAUUCCCUAUGCCUUGGCCAUAGGUUCUAUAAAGUGUGCCAUGCUGUGUACCAAAUCUAUUGUAUACCCUACACUGAUUUUGGCAAGGGAGUAUAAUAGUGAUCUAGGAGUAGAUCACUGAACAGCGGUCAAAAUUAUCCUUAGUGGAAUAAGGAUAUAUUUCUUGAUUAUCACUAGUAGAAAACAGGGCAUUGGUUCGACCCUCGUAAUACCAUUAAUCCCGGUUCGCUCACGAACCGGGACCAAAGGAGACAACUGUCCUGGUUCGUGAGCCCAGGGGACCGGCCGGGCCACGUGGGCCAUUGGUCCCGGUUCGUCUGGACCUUUUGGUCCCGGUUCCACGCACGAACCGAGACCAAUGCGCCUCGCCCCUGGCCCAUGACCAUUAGUCCCGGUUUGUGCCACAAACCGGGACUAAAGGGUUGGUCCUCGUUGCGGUCAGAGUUCAGUCCCACCUCGCCAACCGAAGGGCGCUCACACCGGUUUAUAAGCCCGCCCCUCUCUGCCUUGUUGAGCUCCUCUCAAAGUGAAAAUAGAUGCCCUUAUACAGGGAAUUUGACCUAAAUUCAGAGUAAAUUUCUUUGAAAUUCAUAGAAUUUAUUAUGAAUUUAGGUUGAAUUCUCUCUAUAGGCACAUCUAUGCUCAUUUUUUAUGUUGGGGUUGGCGAUCUUUACAGACUUUUUGUGUGUUGAAUAUGCACCAUUCAAAAUCAGUCUUUGCUUUCAAUGGUUCUUUUUGAACACACAAAAAGUCUGGAGUUCAAAUAAGUUCAAGAAAAUGAAAUCCCUUUGUAACAGAUGAGUUUUCGUCCGAAACCCUGAUACUUCGAAAGAGAUUGUCCAUUUUCUUCACGAAGUGCAUCCAGCUUUUGCCGUAACCCUCUCAACUUUUUAGCACAUGCUAUGUGGGUGAAAUGAUGAUACCAUGCCAACUUUCAACCUUUUCAGAGCUCAUUUGUAAGGCUUUUCAAUUUCAGGGUCAUUUAGCUCAAAACAAUCCGUCACUGCAUGAAAAAUAGCAAAAGUCAGAAAGGGUUGAAAAUUGAUGAUGUGGCUUUGAAUGGUGCAUUUUGAACACACAAAAAUUCUGGANNNNNNNNNNNNNNNNNNNNNNNNNNNNNNNNNNNNNNNNNNNNNNNNNNNNNNNNNNNNNNNNNNNNNNNNNNNNNNNNNNNNNNNNNNNNNNNNNNNNNNNNNNNNNNNNNNNNNNNNNNNNNNNNNNNNNNNNNNNNNNNNNNNNNNNNNNNNNNNNNNNNNNNNNNNNNNNNNNNNNNNNNNNNNNNNNNNNNNNNNNNNNNNNNNNNNNNNNNNNNNNNNNNNNNNNNNNNNNNNNNNNNNNNNNNNNNNNNNNNNNNNNNNNNNNNNNNNNNNNNNNNNNNNNNNNNNNNNNNNNNNNNNNNNNNNNNNNNNNNNNNNNNNNNNNNNNNNNNNNNNNNNNNNNNNNNNNNNNNNNNNNNNNNNNNNNNNNNNNNNNNNNNNNNNNNNNNNNNNNNNNNNNNNNNNNNNNNNNNNNNNNNNNNNNNNNNNNNNNNNNNNNNNNNNNNNNNNNNNNNNNNNNNNNNNNNNNNNNNNNNNNNNNNNNNNNNNNNNNNNNNNNNNNNNNNNNNNNNNNNNNNNNNNNNNNNNNNNNNNNNNNNNNNNNNNNNNNNNNNNNNNNNNNNNNNNNNNNNNNNNNNNNNNNNNNNNNNNNNNNNNNNNNNNNNNNNNNNNNNNNNNNNNNNNNNNNNNNNNNNNNNNNNNNNNNNNNNNNNNNNNNNNNNNNNNNNNNNNNNNNNNNNNNNNNNNNNNNNNNNNNNNNNNNNNNNNNNNNNNNNNNNNNNNNNNNNNNNNNNNNNNNNNNNUUUCUAUUCAAAACAUUAUAAGAAACCUCUAGUAUUAUUGAAACUAAAAUUAUAUAAAAUUGAUGCAACUAAAAUUACCGAAGUAUUUUCUGUUCAAAAUCAUUAAAAGCAAAAAGAAUUUUCAUAAAGAACUUUUUUUGUUAGAAACUUUAAUAGCAAAAAGAAUUAUCAUAAAGUAAAAUAAAUAAGUAAUUAGAAACAAAAUAAAAUAAAAUAAAUAAGUUUUUUGUUGUAAGUAGAAACAAAACAAACUAAAUAAAGCAAAAAAGAAAACAAAAAUUAGGUAAAAAAUAAAAAAUAUGCCACCUACUGGGCCACCACGGCCUGAAUACGACUAGAAACCCAUCGAUGGGCCAGGAUUCAGGCCCGCACAAGGCCCAGUAAGCCCAUCAGGCAUAGCAGUGACAAUUAGGCCCGUAAGCCUGCAAUGGAGAGUAGCUAGAGAGGGGUGCGGCAGUGGGGCUUAUAAACCACUGCGCGCCCCUCUCAACUAGCGAGGUGGGACUAAACUUUCGACGCAGGCGCAACAGCACAAGGCCUUUGGUCCCGGUUGGUGGCACCAACCGAGACUAAAGGUGUGCAUUGGUACCGGUUCGUGGCACUAACCGGUACCAAUGCCCCCCCUCUUUAGUCCCGGUUGCUGACACCAACCGGGACCAAAGGCCGCCGCUUCCCGCCAUUUGGGGGGGGGAGGGGCUGCCCCUUGGCCGCCUCUCCUCUUCCACCAAUUGGGCCCAUGAAGCUCCCGGGGGUUCCGGUAAACCCCCGGUACUCCGGUAUAUAUCCGAUAACCCCCGGAACCACUACUAGGAAAAGGCCUACUAGUGGCGCACCAGUUUUUCCUACUAAUGGCGCAUUACUGGUGCGCCACUAGUACCACGCCACUAGUAUUUUUUACUAAUGGCGCACCACUGGUGCACCAUUAGUAUCUGGUACUAAUGGCGCACCACUGGUGCGCCAUUAGUAUAGGCCACGGUGCGCCAUUAGUAUUUUUGAAUUUUGAAGGCGGGAAAAUAGUAGUGGCGCACCGUCUAACCCCCACCGUGCGCCAUUGCUAUUUUUGAAUUUGGAUCUGGAUCGCGAAUUUUUUGCCCAUUUUUUGCUCUUUUUUUUUCAAAUUUUGUUCUCGUUUUUGGAUCUUGUACGUUAUUUUGCCGUGUUCUUUUGCCGGAGAGGAGUUCGCCGGAGAGGAGGGCCGAGGUCACCGGAGAGGCGCUCGCCUACAUCGCCGGAGAGGAGGAGGAGGUCGCCGGAGAGGAGUUCACCGGAGCAUCGGAGAGGAGGAAGGAGAAACCAUGAGGGGAGGGGAGGAGAGGAGGGAGGAGGAGCUCACCGGAGAGGAGGGAGGAGGAGCUCACCGGAGAGGAGGGAGGAGAAACCGUGAGGGGAGGGGAGGAGAGGAGGGAGGAGGAGGUCGCCGGAGAGGAGAAGGAGGAGGAGGAGGUUGCCGGAGACGAGGAGGGUAGUAUGGUGGAGGAGAGAAGGGGAGAUGGAGUGGAGGAGAGGAGGAGAUGGAGUGGAGGAGAGGUGGAGUGGAGGAGAAGAAUGAAGAGGUAAGGAGGAGAGGACCACGCCCAGCCAUAUAUACGGCAUAGCGGCAUAGUAAUGGCGCACCGUGGGCAGGUGCGCCAUUACUAACUUUUUUUUUGAUUUAUUUUGAAUUUUGAAGGUGGGAAGAUAGUAAUGGCGCACCAUGGGCAGGUGCGCCAUUAGUAAGUUUGAAUUUUUUUUGAAUUUUUUUGCCUCUCCAGAUCUUAAAAGCCCCGUAUCUUUUUUUCAUAUAAAAAACUUUUUCAUCCGAGUUCGUAUGCAAAAGUUAUGCCCAUUUUAUAAAUUCUCGAGAGAUUUUGCAAAAAAGUCGAAAAUUCAUGUUUGUAAAUUUUGCUAACAACUAGACCACAUAUCACAUGGGAAUCUUAUUUUAUUUUAUUUUUUUGACAUUUCUAUCAUUUUCUUUUAUUUUUUUUGAAACUGAAAAGGCGGUCCGGGGGUGCAUUCGGGGGAAUGUUUGGACCAAAUUACUAAUGGCGCACCGUGGGAGUGGUGCGCCAUUACUAGUUUAAAAAAUAAAAUAAAAUAAAUUUGAAUUUUUUUUGAAACAUAACAAGUUUUGAAAAAAAAUUACUAAUGGCGCACCGUUCAUGUGGUGCGCCAUUAGUAUUUACACACUAAUGGCGCACCAACACAUGAUGCGCCAUUAGUGUCCAUAUUGGCUAUAGCUGUUUUCGUAGUAGUUAACCAUUCCGGUGUCCGAAUAUAGUCGUCCAAUAUAUCAAUAUUCAUGUCUCGAACAUUUUGAGACUCCUCGUCAUGUCCGUGAUCACAUCCGGGACUCAGAACUACCUUCGGUACAUCAAAACAUAUAAACUCAUAAUAUAACUGUCAUCGAAACUUUAAGCGUGCGGACCCUACGGGUUCGAGAACUAUGUAGACAUGACCGAGGCACGUCUCCGGCCAAUAACCAAUAGCGGAACCUGGAUGCUCAUAUUGGCUCCCACAUAUUCUACAAAGAUCUUUAUCGGUCAGACCGCAUAACAACAUACAUUGUUCCCUUUGUCAUCGGUAUGUUACUUGCCCUGGAUUCGAUCGUCGGUAUCUCAAUACCUAGCUCAAUCUCGUUACCGGCAAGUCUCUUUACUCGUUCUGUAAUACAUCAUCCCGCAACUAACUCAUUAGUUGCAAUGAUUUGCAAGGCUUAAGUGAUGUGCAUUACCGAGUGGGCCCAGAGAUACCUCUCCGACAAUCGGAGUGACAAAUCCUAAUAUCGAAAUAUGCCAACCCAACAAGUACCUUCGGAGACACCUGUAGAGCACCUUUAUAAUCACCCAGUUACGUUGUGACGUUUGGUAGCACACAAAGUGUUCCUCCGGUAAACGGGAGUUGCAUAAUCUCAUAGUCAUAGGAACAUGUAUAAGUCAUGAAGAAAGCAAUAGCAGAAUACUAAACGGUCGUGUGCUAAGCUAACGGAAUGGGUCAAGUCAAUCACAUCAUUCUCCUAAUGAUGUGAUCCCGUUAAUCAAAUGACAACUCAUGUCAAUGGCUAGGAAACAUAACCAUCUUUGAUCAACGAGCUAGUCAAGUAGAGGCAUACUAGUGACACUCUGUUUGUCUAUGUAUUCACACAAGUAUUAUGUUUUCGGUUAAUACAAAUCUAGCAUGAAUAAUAAACAUUUAUCAUGAUAUAAGGAAAUAAAUAAUAAUUUUAUUAUUGCCUCUAGCGCAUAUUUCCUUCAAGUUUGGGUUGUAGCUUCAAAUUUGAUGCUGAAUUGUUCCCUUUUUAGGCCAUUGGCGUCGAGUGGUUUUAUACGCUAUAUGUAUAUUCCCUUUCUAUAUUGGCCUGAUGAGGAUUAUAAUUUUGAUUAUGUAAAUGAAUGUUUCAUUUAUAUAUGCAAACGAAGCUGUAGUUCUUGUUGUUUAAAUAGUAAUUAUGAUAUUAUUUUGUGGUCAAGUACUUAUGAUACUUUUUUAACUAAUCAUCUCAUACGCUACUUGUGCAACAAUGCAGAAGUAUUAAGGCUUACUUUCAGGAUGGUGAACCGUGAUGUGUCAAAGUUACUUUAUAAUCCUUUGUGGAUACGGUAUUGCGGAACUAAAGAUGGGUUGGUUAAACAAACACUAGGAUGUGAAAAACUAGUUGGGUAAGGUAUAGUAUCAUAAUCAACUCAGAUGCCAUACAUUUACCAAGCUCAUCUUGUUUCUUUUACUAUUCUAUUUUCAUAAUAUACAACGGCAUCGACGGCUAACCUCCAACUCCCCUCCCGUUGAUCCCGGCACUGAAACAGGAGUUAUCCUAACCGAGCACUUCCCGUCAAGGGGUUCGGCUUAACGCCACUCAUGGUGUACCACUCUUGAUGAAAAUAGUUGAGUAUAUUGCAGUUAAGGGGUUUUGGGAUCCCAAAACUAAAUCUGUUUGUAUGUAUGUGCCACUUUUAUAUGUACAACAAGCCAUAUAAUAUUUUGUAUUAAUGGUCUAUAACUUAUUUCCAUUUUGCCUCCGAUACAAUUUUACAAUGAUCUCCUAGGACCAGUUAAAUUAGUCAAACAAAAAAUGUAUGCAUACACUUGAGCACUUGUUUCGUAAUUUACUUUGUUGCGAGCUCAACAUUUUAAAAAAACUGGUCCCCAAGUGAACUGCUAGAAAAUUUCAACUAAUUUGAGUUUAUCUUUAUUUUUAGGGAACAUAAAUUAGUAAGAUUAUCAUAUACCAGAUUCAGAUUAGAUUUAUUUACAAUGUGCUUGGGGAGGAAGAUGAGAAGACGUUGAUGUUGGUCGUGCCAUUGAUGGCGAUGGAAGCCAUGCGGAGGAGAUCAAGAGCAUUAACAACCUCUUGGCCCCGCUCGAUGUUGUUGCCGCCAUCAACAUCAACAACAUGGACCCUCUCGCGAGGCAGCUCCUGGAGCACCGGGGCUAGGGUUCUCUCUAGAAGAAGAACAUGCUGCUGACCAAGAUAUUGAACGCAGAUGAGAAGCACGACAACGACGGGGGGAGAAAAGACGGUUACCACCACGGGAGAAGAUGACUAUGACAAACCCAAGUGAUGUGCAUGAGAAUCAUAAGAUAUGUGUUAGUUUGUAACAUAUAAUUGUCUGGAUCAUUGCUCUCUAUGUUUACAUCAUCGAGUUACAUUGCAGUUGAAGUGAAUUCCAAUUUUUUUCCAAAAUUUUGCAGGUUAUCCUUUAUAUAUAUGAAAAAUAUGAUAUACAUUAUAUUCGCAAUCAGAACAAAUCUAUACAUGUGAAAUUUGAUAUGCAUUGUAUUCAUAGGUGUAAGCGGGAAAAAAAUGAAAAGCCUAUGGCAAUGCACGGGCGGGCGUUCUACUAGUAUCAAUUAAUGUGGUCCACCUACAGUCACAUAAUUCCUUAGAUAUUAGAUAUAGCAAAUUCUUUAUUGAUAAUAAUAUCAUUAAUAAAUGCAUGAUUCUAUAUCCAGCUAUCUAUCUGCAGAAUAAAGACACAAGAUUUCAUUAAUAAAUGGAGCAUUGUAUAUCUCCCUACCUCUGCACACAGAAUAAAUUGGUCAAAAAAAAAUCUAUGCCACAAAUGAUGCUUAUCUACAGAAAAUAGUGUUGCGGAAAGAACCAAACCUGUAACAUUAAAUUAGGUCGACCUACAAUCACAUAGAGUAUUUCUUUAGAUUUUUGGUACACAUAAUUCUUUCUUGAUAAAACUUAACAUUAAUAAAUGGAGAUUGUAUAUCCAACUAUCUAUAUGUGCUAUCUAUAUGCAGAAUAAAGAAACAGAUUUCACUAAUAAAUGGAGCAUUGUAUAUCUCCCUACCUAUGCACACAAAAUAAAUUGAUUGAAGACAAAAAUCAAUGACAGGAAUGAGUCUUAUCUGGGGAAAAUAUUGUGGCAGAAAGAUAGGAACCUAGGACAUUGAAUCAGGUCCACUUACGAUCAUUAAUUAAUGGAGGAUUAUAUAUAUCCAAUAAUAUAUAUGAAAGAAAAAAUAUUUCAUUAAUAAAUUGAACAUUGUAUAUCUCCCUACCCAUGCACACACAAUAAAUUGACCGAAGAAACAAAAUCUAUGACACUAAUGAGGUCCACUUACAAUCUUGAACUAGCACUAUGCAUAUCUUUUCGACUUAAAUGCUAGCAAUUAAUUGUUGCUCACCGCACCAUCUAUAUAAUCCUACUAUCUGGAUGCCCCCAAGCAACAAUUUCAACUUAUUGUGAGUUAAUACUUUCAUAGACAUGGAGCACUUUUGUUUCUUGGUCAUCCUCUCACUCUCUGGCUUGGCUGUGGCCUUGCAGCUGACCACUCCGUGCAACGCUGCGCAAGCUCAGCCACCACCAGUCUACGACAUAGAUGGCCACGAGCUAACAGGUAACAACAUGUACACCAUCAUGGCAGCAGAUCGCAAUCUGAGCGACCAUUGUAUCUCCGUUGGCUCAUUUCGGAGUGAGGAAUGUCAUAAGCAUGCGACCCUGACACCGUGCAAGCAAUUUGGCGGGAUGAGAGGCGUGCAUGUGUCGAUCAAGCCGGCGGAGGCGAGCGAUGGCUCUAGCAAGGAGGCGUCAAUCCGCCUCUCGACCGAUGUCGUGAUCGAAUUUAAAGGCGUGGUCACCUGGUGCAAGCACCAUCUCCGGUGGUACGUCCAUGGAGAGAACACGAACCAGACGCAUGUGUCCGCCAGCUGCUUCAGAGGGAUGAACGGAUGCCAACCGUCGGCAGGCACAUGCAUGGAACAAAGUUUCCUAUUCCGCGUCGAGAGGCAUGGCACCGGGUACAAGCUGACAUCGUGCUUCAAUGCGCCAUGCCGCGAUCUUGUGUUGUUCGACUACGCCGGCCAAAGGUGGCUGACCGUAAAGAAAGAUGGGCGUGAGCCUCUGGUGGUCGUGUUCAAGAAGUUCCCUCUCGCCAGCUUGCCACCUGCGAGUGCUCCCCAACUAGGCUAGUGUGUAUGCUACUAUGUAUGUGUACUUGCUUGAGCGUUCGAUGCAAGGAAUAAUUUCUAGUACAAGCAUGGAACUGUCCUAUUUUGCUGGUCACUGUUCGAUGCGACAAGGGGCGGCCGACGGACGGAACUCUGUUGUAGCAGGCGGCAGCUCGCUCAAGUUAACACACACUUCUCUGUGUGUGUGUGUGUGUGUGUGUGUGUCUGUGUGUGUGUGUUUCGAGAGAAAACUAUGGGAAAGUGAAGACAUGUAGGAUUGCGAUCCAACGGUUACAAUUACACAGGGUUGCAUCGGACGGCCGUGCGGUGAUCGGCCAAAAUUUGGAACGGUCGACUGACUUCUAGUGUUCACCUUUUCACUUUCUCUUUGAUUUGUU